GGAAUCGUGGCUUAGUGGUAGAGUGCUUGCCUACUAUGCAUGAAGUCCUGGGUUCGAUUCCU
rnacentral:tRNA from 1 species